AACGAACGCUGGCGGCAGGCCUAACACAUGCAAGUCGAGCGCCCAGCAAUGGGAGCGGCAGACGGGUGAGUAACGCGUGGGAACCUUCCCAAUGGUACGGAAUAGCUCAGGGAAACUUGAGGUAAUACCGAAUAAGCCCGAAAGGGGAAAGAUUUAUCGCCAUUGGAUGGGCCCGCGUAGGAUUAGCUAGUUGGUGAGGUAAUGGCUCACCAAGGCGACGAUCCUUAGCUGGUUUGAGAGAAUGACCAGCCACACUGGGACUGAGACACGGCCCAGACUCCUACGGGAGGCAGCAGUGGGGAAUCUUGGACAAUGGGCGCAAGCCUGAUCCAGCCAUGCCGCGUGAGUGACGAAGGUCUUCGGAUUGUAAAGCUCUUUUGCCAGGGACGAUAAUGACGGUACCUGGAGAAUAAGCCCCGGCUAACUUCGUGCCAGCAGCCGCU
rnacentral:rRNA from 1 species